GGAGAAGUAGGGGAUAAAAUGGACAAGACGGAAAAUAGGAAGAGAGAUGACAAUUAACUGAGAGAAGAGAAUAGAGAGGAAGGGCAGAGAGAUAGGGAAAAUCCUCCCUGAUGGAAGCAGCCCUUGUCAGUCACUGUGAGAGGAAGAAAACUGACUGAAGAGGUCUGAGUCACCUCAGCUAGGACAGCCAAGUGUUGCUUAGCUGGAGUAAAGUUUGGAUUUAGUAACGUCAUGAAGAGACAGGGAAUUUUGCUGCAGCUUCUUGCCUGCACCUAUCUCCUUCUCCAGCCACUACACUCUGCUCCUCCCUCUUCCUGCUCAGGCCCCCAUCCAGCAAAGCAGUGAUGGAGAGGUCCUCUCAGGUUAAAAAGAUAUGUCCAAUUUAACUGCUGCCGAAGAGGGUCAUUAAGUAGUUGGUCUAUGAUUCCAGAGUCUUGAAGGAGGAUUCUGCUUCCUUUCCCCUACAAAAUGGUUUGGAAGACAAUCCUGUUUUUUUUCAAUGACAGGGAUACAGUGAAUGAGUGAGAAGAAACAUUCCUGUCCUGCCCCCUCCCAGCUUCAUAAUCCAGGAGAAAACAUCUGUAUAGAGCCUCAGAAUCCCCUCCCUCCACCCCACUACAAUCCCAGGCCUUCUGAAUUGUAAUGAGGAGCUGCUUCUCCGGACCAGCAUAGUGUGAUCAUUGACCUAGGGCUGAGUUGAGGACAUCUGGAGUCAACUAUGGGUGCUGCUAAUGGACAACUAUCCCCAAUGAAGGCUAUGUUUUCAGUAUAACAACUUCUGAAGUUUUCAGUCUGAACUACCCCAGAGAGCUUACAAAGGUAAACCUUAUGAAGAAUGAAAUAGGCUGGGUUACCCAAGAGUGAAAAUUUACUUAUCAGGAAAAAUUAUACUGAUGUACUGUUUCAGCAACAUAGAAACAACAAACUGUUAAAAAAAAAAAGUGUUCAAAUCCCCACCAACUUUUGGUGAAUUAAAACACAAAUGCUUUGGUUCAUGCUGUAACAUCUAGAAUCCUGAUUCUGCAAACAGACAUGCACAAGUGAGCUUCCCUGCACACAUAUUCAGAUGCAGAACUAGGGUCCAUAGGGUGGGGUUUUCAAUUAAUUACAAUGGGAGUUGUCCAUCUAUCUCUAGGCUACACUGAAAAAUCUCAGCCUUGAUUUAAAACACAGUUUGCCUAUUAAAUAUUAUUUCUUUAUAUUAUGAUGUUCCCAGAAGCUUUGACCAAGAUUGGAAAACCACUGUGCUAGUCAUGGAACCAUACUUACUUAGCUCUUUAAAUUUUGUAGAUAUAAGAACAAAACACUGUAGAUGAACUAUUACACAAGCUGUUUAUUUAUUGUGCCCAAGCCCUGAGAGACUUGUUUUGUUUGGUCUUGUAGUUAUUUUGAUGCAAAAUGUGGAAACAGAGCUAAAAAUUAGGUUAAACUGUCAAGGAUUCACAUAAAGGACAGUUAGGUGCAUUCUGUUGUUCAUUUGCCCUAUUAUUUACAACCUCUAUGAUCAUUAGAGUUAACAUAUACAGUGAAGUUCAACUGAUGUACCCUCUUAGGAGGCUACAGCAGCCAUAAGUACAGUAAGCUGAUAGUUUAGAUGUUUCUCAUGCUUUAGGUCACAGAUUCCCAGACUCAGGCCCAUACAAAAUGUCAGCUCAAAGAAUCCCUCAUCUGUUAUUUUGGGAAGGUUACAUUUUCAAUUUCAGCAGGUCAGGUUGAAACUGUACCUCUGAAGGUGUGAGACAAAUGAUAAGACAGCUGUAAGUAAGAGCUGACUAGGUUUCAACCAUCUGAACAGUAGUGCACAGAGAAUGCCAUGCUGUCAUGGAGAGAAUCAUCAAGGUGUGCUGCUUGAAGUUUAUAUAUUUAUGUUGAAAAAGGAAAAACAAACAAACAAACAAAACAAACUUGUUUUGAAAUGGAAACAAGUGGAUUUUUUUUUAAAAAAGGCCAAAAUAUCCAAAUUCAUUUUCAUUCACUGAGUUGACUUUAAAAGAAAACACGGCGAAAAGCAUGCAGGGUAGGUUCACAAAGUGCUAAUUAAUACCAUGUAAAGGUAAAUCAUUACAGAAGAGAAAUCAGUUGACUAUCUGGAUUUGCCAUGCCAGAAAAAUUCAGGGUAAAUUGAAAUCUGGGUUAUUUUAGUCACAUGCUGACAAUCCUCAAACAAAUUUUGGGAAACAUUCAAACAUAUCUACAUUUUCUUUUUAUUAAUGAUGAUUGCUCAUUUCUUACAUAAAUGCUACCAGAAAACAAGUCCCAAGUCCCAAACAUCUGCAAAUAGACAAUACUCAGGGCAGUGCUUAUUUUUAUAUAAAGUAUUCAAUGUUUAAAUUGAGCAGAGCUUAGAGUUAUUACAUCUGUUUUGAUACACAGGUUUUUACAGCAAACUCAGGUGAGAACACUUAAAACUUAAUUCUGUUGUGCUACAUCCACAAUCUGUGCUUUCAUUUGUGACUGGAGAAAACUGUAAGCUGUUUUAAAAACAUCAGAAAGAGUGAAAACGUUUUUUUUAAAAAUGGCUAGCUAAUGAUCUCAGCUACAUCGGAGUAAGUCUGGAAUAACUAUGACUUCAAUGGAGUUAUUUUGGAUUUAAACCAGUGUAACAGAAUUCAGAGUCUGGCCCAAAGUCUUUUACUACAAUCAGUCAUCAGCCUGUGUUGUACAUCUGUCACAGUAUUUCUAGUCAUAAUAGUGAUAUAGGGCCCUGUACUUCAGUCAUUAGCUGAGCACAAACAGGCUCCAUCCUUUACAAUGUAGUAUUAUGCACAGGUCCCUUUGAAUCUGUGAUUUCACAGCUGUUGUAUUUAGGGCAUCUAUUUCUUGUGACAGUUUUGCAAUCAAGUGCUAUUUUUGCUACCUGCAUCUCCAUCUGCCCCCUUUGGUCUAAAUGUUGUUAGGUGGGACAGGCAUCCUUCAUAGCUGGGUGAUUUAGCAUGAGAAAUGCUCCCAGAGAGCUAGGCUUCUGACUGGGAUGCUGAGACCAGGUAGGGUGACCAGAUGUCCCGAUUUUAUAGGGACAGUCCCGUUUUUUGGGUCUUUUCCUUAUAUAGGCU